rnacentral:lncRNA from 1 species
UUUUAAAAUAUUAAUUUUUUAUCUUACAAAUUUAUUAAAGAUUUAUAUUUUUUAGAAUAAAAAAAAUAUUAUAUCAUACAAAUUUUGCAUUGAUAAAUGACCUGAGAUCAUUUUUUUGAAAGAUAAGUAACACGCUACCCGCUUCGUUUAUUUCAUUUAGAAAUAAAUUUAAUUAUAAAUAUAAAUCAACUAGAAUUCGAAUUUGAGUUUCGGAUACCAACUAUUAAAUUUUUUUGCCACUUGUGCGAUCGGUAUUAUCUCUACUAUCAUUAAAAUCACUUUCC